CUGUAACAAGAAGAACUCUGACUGGCAGCAUCCAUCAUUCUUGCCCAAAUUUUCAUUUCAUUUGUCAUUAAGAGAAAUCAACACUAUUUCUACCAAUGAUCAUAAUUUUUUUUCCUUUAUUUUCCUUAGGGGGAGAGAGAUCCUUAUUACUACUCUGAAUGCAACACGUUGUCUCAAAACCAUCUAUAGAGCUGCAGGCCCAGAGAUGUUCCCCUACCACAGAGGUUUACUUGUGUGCCUUUUUUCCUGUGUAGUAUCAUGAGUGAGAAGAGAAAACAUGCUGAGGAGCUAUGGCACAGAGAAUCAAAGGAGGAGAGGUGUAACUGGCAGGUAAGGGUCAGGACAGGUAGUCUUUUAGGGAUCUUCUUUUAAUAUUUUCCAGGAACCCUUGGCUUGCUCAGACUUUACUCUGUGUGACAUUUCAUACCUGUUUUGUGGUGACUGCAUUCUCUGUUCUCUAAAUCCUGCUGAUGACAGGACUCCCCUUGCUGCAUUUUCACUGCAAAUCAAGAGCUUAAUGCCCUGCUGAAUGAACUUGGGAAUUGUUCUCUCUAUAUAACUUUUCUUCUCUCGCAUAGCCUCAGGUGAAUUCAAUUUUUAUUUUUUUUUUUGAAGUCCUAGAAAUUGCCUGCUUACGGACUUGUAGCUUCGAACCACCAAAGUCCCGUGUGGCUCUUCUUAAUUGUCCAUAUAAAUUGCUUUCUAUUUUGGACACCAUGAAUAUCUCAGCAGCAUCUGCUUCUCCCUUCUGGGCACCACCAACUGUGCAUGAAAUUCCCCCCAAAGAGGCCAGGUAAGAACUCUUUCCCAUUCUUGAAAAAAUAAAGAAAUAAAGGAAUACA
rnacentral:lncRNA from 1 species